rnacentral:lncRNA from 1 species
UAAGCCUGAUGCAAUGAUUCAGUGCAAAGCCCUUUUGUGUUUUGAGGUUCUGCUCAUCAGAUAUCGGCUUUUCCCCGUAUUCUGCAGCAGCGGUGGCAGGUUUCCCAUUGGCACCGACAGGUCUUAAGAACCAAAAGGUGCAUAUUGCAAUUACCCAUCAGUAAUCUGGAUUGGACACGGAGGGAGCAAAAGGGUUCAGCAACCACUGGGAUUAAGAGAGAACAAGGAGACCAACUUCAGGGAAAACAGCAGCAACCAGACACGCUGUGAGCCAGCAGAAAACACAAGAGAAGAGGAACUGGUGUACACAAAUGAGGAAUCUUCAGUAAGAAGCAACAAAAAUGUCAGGACAUCCCCAUCUGUGCUCUCCACCUUCCCCAGUUUGUUUGCUGCCCAGCAGGUCUGACUCUCAGAAUUUGCACAGGGGAACAGCACGAAGGCAGGUCAAGACUGCAGCCAAAAGGAGCAGCAGAGCAUCCCUCUGUUCUUGGAGUCAGACAAACAGCGAGGCAAGGAAGUGCAUCUGUAAUCAACAAUCCCCAGGCCGCACAAUUACAUCAUAAUUAGAAAAAUAAUCCC